rnacentral:sRNA from 1 species
GAGCUCCGCCCCUCGCCCGGCUCAGCUCUCCCGGGAUCUGGGGCUUUGAGCGUCCCGGGUUGGGCAGGGAAGUGGCAGCAUCGCUCCUAGGAUGCGAGGGCCAUUUGUCUCCGGCCGGGGGUCAGAUCCUCGGGAAGCCGAGCCAUCCCAUCCAGCCGCUUGCCCCAAACCGGGCGCAGGCCGUGGUCACUUCUCUAGGAAGCUCCGAAGAUCCCGCCACUCCGUCCCUCAAAGGUGCGGAAAGCCGGCUUCCCCCAGCCCUCGGAGAAGAUUCCUUACUCUCCGCUCGGUCGGGGCAUCUGAGGGCAGGAGCUGCGCCAGGCGUACCGGAUAGACCAGUGGACAACACCCACGCCGGACCGCCUGUCCCCUACCCGGACCCAGACUCGGCGCCGCACAUUGCCCCGGGGGGGCCCGGCGCAGUCACGCGCGCGCAGAGCUCACGCUCUCCGCCCCGCACACCUGCGCUCCGCCCCCUGGUCCUGGGCCCGCGACGGGUGAAGGCAUUUGGGAAGCCAGGGCGGCUGCGGAGGCGAUCUCCCUGACCCAGGGCCGGAGUUGCCCGGAGCCUGCCGCCGCUCUCAGCCAGCCCGCAUCCUUCUCUGUCCUUCCCUCCCCCCGCCUGCCACGGCGCGGGUAUCCGCAGCCACAGCCCGGGGCCGGUGAGGCGGCGAAGGGGGAGGGGAGGAAUCAAGGGAUGAGCGCCGGAAGGGCGUCGGGGGCCCUGAGCCGCACUAGGACGCCCCUGGAGCCGGAACCCCAGCAGAAGCCGGAACCAGAACCAAAUCACCGGUACCGGGUGGGCCAGGUGGUCAGGGUGGGAGAAACCAAAAAGGGAGAGGGGUGCGGGAGUACUGAGAGGAAGGGGCUGCAGAGGCCUGGCUCAGGCCGGCGUGGAGGAGGUGCGGGCGCUGACUCAGGCAGGAUUUCUGCUCCCGCCGCCUAAGAAUGCCGUCCCAUCUCGUGCUGCAGUGUCCUUGGGAGGGACAGAAGCGCGAACAAGCUGGAAAGGGGAACGCUCGGGGCGUCGGGGAAGCGGGACCAGGGUCGUGGUAGAGAGCUUGCGUUGCCGCUGACCUCUUGCCGAAAGGCGAAACAGCACUCCUGGCCCGGACAGCUCCCUGGUUGGGUAGGGGGUGGGGCCGGACCUCAGCCGGACGUCUUAGACGUGCUUGUUUCAGAUCCUGAGGACGGCAUUCCUACCCCUCCCCCAUUCCCAGCUGCAGCCCCCUAAACCCAGGAGGCGCCCUGGCCCGCGCUCGCCCCCCAGGGCCUCAUGUCGGAACCACAGCCUGACCUGGAACCGCCCCAACAUGGGCUAUAUAUGCUCUUCCUGCUUGUGCUGGUCUUCUUCCUCAUGGGCCUGGUAGGCUUCAUGAUCUGCCACGUGCUCAAGAAGAAGGGCUACCGCUGCCGCACGUCGAGGGGCUCUGAGCCUGACGAUGCCCAGCUUCAGCCCCCUGAGGACGAUGACAUGAAUGAGGACACAGUAGAGAGGAUUGUUCGCUGCAUCAUCCAGAAUGAAGGUUCCGGGUGACACACAUUGAGAAGCGCUAUGGACUGCACGAACACCGUGAUGGCUCCCCCAUGGACAGGAGCUGGGGCUCUGGUGGGGGACAGGACCCAGGGGGUGGUCAGGGGUCUGGGGGAGGGCAGCCCAAGGCAGGGAUGCCUGCCAUGGAGAGGCUGCCCCCUGAGAGGCCACAGCCCCAGGUCCUAGCCAGCCCCCCAGUACAGAAUGGAGGACUCAGGGACAGCAGCCUAGCCCCUCGUGCACUUGAAGGGAACCCCAGAGCUUCUGCAGAGCCAACACUGAGGGCCGGAGGGAGGGGCCCAAGCCCAGGGCUGCCCACUCAAGAGGCAAAUGGGCAGCCAAGCAAACCAGACACUUCUGAUCACCAGGUGUCUCUACCACAGGGAGCAGGUAGUAUGUGAGUCUCCUUCAUUGUGCUGAUGGACUACCAGCUGGCAGGGCCAGGGGGUGGGUGGGCGUGAAAGCCCUCCCCUCCACUGAACAGCACUGCCCCCCAGCUGAGGGACCAGCUCUACUUCCACCUGGAGUUGCACAGUCUCAGGCUGGGGGCCUCAGGAGAGGUCACAGCCCCUCAGUCUCUUCUCCUUCCCCUGCCUGCAACAGGCUGCCUGCCCCGCCUUCCCCAACACCUCGCUCCAUGUGAUAGAGCGUGGCAGCUGGGAGCAGGCCCCUGCCCGUGGUGGGCCCCUAAAGCAAUAGCACCGUAGGCCCCCUGCCCUCUUAGCACAAGAGGCCCAGGCCCUGGCCUGGCCUUCGUGCCCUUUAUUCAUUGUCAAUAAAUCCGCUCAGACCAUU